CCUACGGGUGGCAGCAGUGAGGAAUAUUGGUCAAUGGGCGCAAGCCUGAACCAGCCAAGUCGCGUGAGGGAUGACGGUCCUAUGGAUUGUAAACCUCUUUUGUCGGGGAGCAAGGCCCGCCACGUGUGGCGGGAAGAAGAGUACCCGAAGAAAAAGCAUCGGCUAACUCCGUGCCAGCAGCCGCGGUAAUACGGAGGAUGCGAGCGGUAUCCGGAUUUAUUGGGUUUAAAGGGUGCGUAGGCUGUGAGGUAAGUCAGCGGUGAAAUGCCCCCGCUCAACGGGGUGAAGUGCCAUUGAUACUGCCUUGCUGGAAUGCGGAUGCCGUGGGAGGAAUGUGUGGUGUAGCGGUGAAAUGCAUAGAUAUCACACAGAACACCGAUUGCGAAGGCAUCUCACGAAUCCGCGAUUGACGCUGAUGCACGAAAGCGUGGGUAUCAAACAGGAUUAGAUACCCCAGUAGUC
rnacentral:rRNA from 1 species